AUUGAACGCUGGCGGCAGGCCUAACACAUGCAAGUCGAGCGAGCGGCGGCCGGGUGAGUAAUUUCUGGGAAACUGCCUGAUGGAGGGGGGUAACUACUGGAAAAGGUAGCUAAUACCCCAUACCAUCAGAUGUGCCCACAGGGGAUUCGCUCGAAGGUUGGGUAAUGGCUCACCUAGGCGACGAUCCCUAGCUGUGCUGAGUGGAUGACCAGACAAACUGGAACUGAGACACGGUCCAGACUCCGACGGGAGGCAGCAGUGGGGAAUAGUGCACAAUAGGCGCAAGCCUGAGGCAGCCAGGCCGCGUGGAUGAAGAAGGCCUUCGGGUUGUAAUGUACUUUCAGCGAGGAGGCGGUACUCGCAGAAGAAGCACGGGCGAACUCCGUGCCAGCAGCCGCGGUAAUAC
rnacentral:rRNA from 1 species